rnacentral:rRNA from 1 species
UACAGAGGUCUCAAGCGUUGUUCGGAUUCAUUGGGCGUAAAGGGUGCGUAGGUGGCGCUGUAAGUCGGGUGUGAAAUUUCGGAGCUCAACUCCGAAACUGCAUUCGAUACUGCGGUGCUUGAGGACUGGAGAGGAGACUGGAAUUCAUGGUGUAGCAGUGAAAUGCGUAGAGAUCAUGAGGAAGACCAGUGGCGAAGGCGGGUCUCUGGACAGUUCCUGACGCUGAGGGACGAAAGCUAGGGGAGCAAACGGG